CAGUAGCCACGGGAAUACGAGGGGGGCAAGCGUUGUUCGGAAUUAUUGGGCGUAAAGGGUGCGUAGGCGGUUUGACAAGUCUUAUGUGAAAUCUCUGGGCUCAACCCAGAGUCUGCAUGGGAAACUGUCGAGCUUGAGUAUGGGAGAGGUGAGUGGAAUUUCCGGUGUAGCGGUGAAAUGCGUAGAUAUCGGAAGGAACACCUGUGGCGAAAGCGGCUCACUGGACCAUUACUGACGCUGAUGCACGAAAGCUAGGGGAGCAAACAGGAUUAGAGACCCCUGUAGUCCCUGUCUCUUAUAC
rnacentral:rRNA from 1 species